AGCUUGUCAUUUUGACUUUUGUAUUGAAAUAGGCUAGAAGUCCAAAUGAAAAAUAAUUAAUAAUUUGAUAAAUAAUUAAAAACUCGUACAGUCAUCUGAUUAUUUAACUCACCGUUUUAGAAUUCUAUAAAACAUUACAACUGUUGUGGUUAUGUCGCAAUGAAGAGAGGUACAGUCCGCUUAUUGCACAAUACAAAUAUUUAGUUUCAUGGGAACAGUAUUGAUAGAUACUAGUGAAUAUGCCUUCGCACGGAGUGGAAGAGGAGGACAAGCCUUGUAGGGCGUGCUCCGAUUUCAAGAGCUGGGCGAAAAAGCAAAACAGAGUGACCUUCACGGCGCCGACAAAACAGUCACCACCAAAACCCAAAGACUGUCCUCUCGACAAGGAUGAGCUGGGCAAGGCGACGUGGGGUUUCCUACACUCUAUGGCGUCGUAUUACCCUGAGAAGCCAAGUAAAGCACAGUCAGAGAGCAUGUCUAAGUUCUUCAACAUAUUUGCACAGUUCUAUCCUUGUGAGCCAUGUGCUUUGGACUUCCAAGAGGACAUAAAAGAAGCAUCCACCAAAGACAGAAUCAAGAGACAAAUUAGCAAAAUGGCUGUGUGAAAGACAUAACACCGUCAACAUAAAGCUUGGGAAGCCAGUGUUUGACUGCAGCAAAGUGCAUGAACGAUGGAAGGACGGAUGGCUCGACGGUUCUUGUGACUAGUGAAUACUUACAGUGAAAAUAUUGUCAAUAUUCCUUAUAUGUGAUAUAGUUAGGACAAAUUAUUAUAAGUGUGUAUAUACAUAACAAUAACAUGCAUUGAUCACAUGAUAAUAACUUUUGUACCUUGGGAUGUGAUAUUAAUAUUCUACAAUAUUAAUUGUAAUAUGUUUAUUGCAAGCUGUACAAAUUACAUAAUUAAUUUAAUUACAUAUAAAAAAAUAGUAUAAAGCCAUCAAUUAAUUUAUAAAUUUAUCUACAGAAUUGUAUUUGCUCUAUUAUUUGUACCAGACUAUGAAUUCUGAAUUGAGUUUGUCUGUUGACCAUUUGAAGUCAUGCAUUUGGUGAUUGUUAUAUGUAAAGUUAGCCACUAAUGUAGCUAAGCAAAUUCAGACAAAACACUUUUAAACAUUAAUUCAUGUUCUAAACUAAAGUAAACUUUAAAGUUUAUGUUUAUGAAGAAAAUCGAUUGUUGGUACAGACAAAAAGUUUAAAGGCAGUUUGACAUUUUGAAUUUGUUGAGCUAGUGUUAUGCUUGACUGUAUUUACAUACGUAGUUGGGAUGUAACAUCUCUGCUUACUAUGAACUAUGGUACCUUAUUAGUUGUUACACAUUAUGUGACAAUAUUUUCACUUUGUUUAGUGACCAGUUUUGUUAAAGUUGUAAGCAAUAUUUUGUUCCAGUAUUUAUCUCUGAAUUGUGUCACCUGUGUCAUUAGUUUAGGUUUUUGUAUAUGUAUAAUGUUGUUAGAUUUGUUUUUAAUAUAUUAUUCUUUUGAAAA